GCGCCCUAUGGCAAGGCUACUUAUAUUUCAUCAUAACUACCAUAGAAAAAGUUAUCGUAAAGGAGUUAUGAUAUAAU
rnacentral:sRNA from 1 species